CCCUUAGAUGUUCUGGGCCGCACGCGCGCUACACUGAUGCAUUCAACGAGUUUCUUCCUGGUCCGAGAGGAAUGGGUAACCUUUUGAAAGUGCAUCGUGAUAGGGAUAGACUAUUGCAAUUAUUGGUCUUCAACGAGGAAUUCCUAGUAGACGUAGUUCAUCAGACUGCAUCGAUUACGUCCCUGCCCUUUGUACACACCGCCCGUCGCACCUACCGAUUGAAUGGUCCGGUGAAAUCUUCGGAUUGAGACUUUGUUUUCUUCACGGAAAACGCUGUUUUAAAAAGUUGAUUAAACCUUACCAUUUAGAGGAAGGUGAAGUCGUAACA
rnacentral:rRNA from 1 species